CUUGGUUUGGGAUGCUUAAACAUUUUCAAAUUGAAAGAAGACGUCAUUUUACGAGGCCUCACUUUGCAACCUGGCUAAGGAACCGCAUAGGGCGGGUCUUCUCCUCUUCUCUUCUUUCACACUGUACAAAAAGGGGAUUGAUUCUGUUUGAAGUGGCGAUUUUGGGAGUCCUUGGAAACCAACGAAUUGGAAAUUCACUAGACGACGGAAAUUGACCUCUGCCCAAAAAAAGUGAAAAUAAUCCAUUUGGAGAAGUGGGAAUUCCAACUUCAGUACUGGAAGCACAAGAACAGAAGGACCCAAUAAAAAUGAGUUUUGAUUUUCUUUUAAACAGAUUAAUGAGAUGUCCCUUUGUAAAGGCAUGAGAUCUAACCUUCCAACGUAGGAAGCCACCGCACAUGUUUUUAGUACAAGACCCUAUGUAUGUUUUAGAUUUCAUAUAUUUGUCUGCCAUAUAUGUAUUGUUGUAUUUGGACGGUAGCAGAAAGAUAUGUAUUGUUGUAUUUGGAUGGUAGCAGAAAGUGCUUAAAAUUGAGCAGACAUCACCAGAAUCCAAACCCAUUUGGAACGGUUUGGGAGAAGAAUUGAGUUCGGAAAGCGUUAGAAUUAUGAUAAAGUUGUAUUUGAGAGAAAUGUUUACCAAAGUAGUAUUAUAAUAGGAUAUGUUUAGAGAAAGAGUUACGACAUUGUUAUUAUAAGAUGUGUUUAUGAUAAUAUAGGUUUGAAUAAAUGAUUA